GGGGAAAUGGUGUAGUGGUAUCACAUUUCUUUCGCAUAGAAAAGGUCGCGAGUUCAAACCUUGCUUUCUCCA
rfam:Mucor circinelloides f. circinelloides 1006PhL unplaced genomic scaffold supercont1.258, whole genome shotgun sequence.